rnacentral:sRNA from 1 species
CCCACAAGAGAGAUUGGGGACCUCGAGCCACCAAAAGCCAAUGAAGAGACCAUGAGUUGAGAAGCCCCUCCCCUGUGCCAGCAGGCAAAGGGCCUGGGCCUGGGGCUGGGGAGGGGCCGAAGGGUGGGUUUUGCCUGGCUCCUGCCAGGAUAAGGGGGCAGCCCUGGACCCUGGAGAAUCUGGAUUGGAGGAGCUAUGGCUCCUGGGCUGCCUGGGGCCAGGGUCUUUGUACCCCCUCUGAGGGGCUGUCCUUGCAGAGGCAAACUGUCCUCUGAUAGAGCCAGAGACUUGAGGAGUGGGAUGGAGGCUCAGUUUGCCUUGUGAGGAGCUGGGCCUUCUGUCACCAGGACCAGGCAGCAGGCCCUUCCUACCUGGCCAUCUUAGACCAAGAGGUGCCAAGAAGUUCACAUUUAUCAGUUUAUUAAAAAUGCAGCAUUUUUUACA